rnacentral:rRNA from 1 species
AUGGAAGACAUGGUUAGGAGUGUACCGAUUGGCGAGAAGCUCUUCAUAGGAGGAGACCUCAAUGGCCACGUGGGUACAUCUAACAUAGGUUUUGAAGGGGCACAUGGGGGCUUUGGCUAUGGCAUCAAGAAUCAAGAAGAUGUCUUAAGCUUUGCUCUAGCCUACGACAUGAUUGUAGCUAAGACGCUCUUUAGAAAGAGAGAAUCACAUCUGGUGACUUUUAGUAGUGGCCAACACUCUAGCCAGAUCGAUUUCAUCCUCUCGAGAAGAGAAGAUAGGCGUGCGCGCCUGGACUGUAAGGUGAUACCUGGAGAGAGUGGUGUACCCCAGCAUAAGCUGGUGGUUGCUGACUUCCGCUUUCCGAUUCUUGUCCAGCAGGAUAAGCGUGCCAAAGUCGCUACAAUGAAGUGGUGGAAGCUCAAGGGGGAGGUAGCUCAGGCGUUCAAGGAGAGGGUCAUUAGGGAGGGCCCUUGGGAGGAAGGAGGGGACGCGGACAAUGUGUGGAUGAAGAUGGCGACUUGCAUUCGUAAGGUGGCCUCGGAGGAGUUUGGAGUGUCCAGGGGACGGAGAAGAGAAGAUAAGGAUACCUGGUGGUGGAAUGAUGAUGUCCAGAAGGCGAUUAAAGAGAAGAAAGAUUGCUUUAGACGCCUAUACCGGGAUAGGAGUGCAGUCAACAUAGAGAAGUACAAGAUGGCGAAGAAGGCCGCAAAGCGAGCUGUCAGUGAAGCAAGGGGUCGGGCAUAUGAGGACCUCGACCAACGGUUAGGCACGAAGGAAGGCGAAAGGGACUUCUAUAAGAUGGCCAAGAUCCGAGAUAGGAAGACGAGGAUAUUGGCCAAGUCAAAUGCAUCAAGGACGGAGCAGACCAACUGUUGGUGA